UGCUUCUUCCCGGAUAGGAUCACGAAGUGUUGAUGUGAGAUACGAUGAGUUCUCCGACAAGUUCUUCUGCAGCUUUUCACAGGCGAGCCCUCUCUCUUCACCUACUUAACUCUCUCCCUCGCACUGCUAUCCUUAUGUUGCGAUUCUUUAUCGAGUCACGUGUCCUAUUCCACUUGUUUGCCAUAAUAAUCCUAUAUUUAUCAUUCCUUACCCAUAGCCGUUGCUUGAUGUUUGAGCCUUCCGAGUCGUAGGCGUGUUUAGGCUCUGUUGUUUAUCUCGAUCUGUUAUCGGGAUAUGUUGGGUUGUUGGGAGGUUAUCACAUGCUAUAUCAGUUGUUGGAGAUACACAUGCUUUACUUAUUUGUUAACAACUAAAAUUGUAAGCAGAGGCAUCUGUGAGCCCCUUUGCGAAAGCAUCGGAACUUUGACUCGCUAAUGUCCCCUAGGACCCGAGUUCUUGUUAUCUGUUCCGAGAUUGAGCGCUCUACCCAUGCGUGGGGACGAUUAUCGGGACCCCCCUCACCCAUUACCUUUUCUCAAGUCAGUUGAAAAGGGGGCCACAACCUUGGUUUUAUUUGCCUAUGCCAUGUAUGCCAUGCUUUACUUACUGUUGCCUUCGGGUGUUUACUUCCUGUUGCCUUCGGGUGUUUAUAUUCUGUAAUGUACCUUGCGGGACGUUUAGCGAAGCGUGUGGUUUGCACGCCUAGCCGCCGGCGCAAACCUCUGAGUCCGCUUCGGAGUACGGCCGGACUUCGUCACGGGUAGCUUAGUUGGGUGGCCCCCCUGGACUUUCUUGUUGAACUGGGAACGGUCUUGUUGUGAGACAUCCACCUGUCGUAAGUGGGUCGAGCAUGCGUAUGGUUACAUUUGGGCAACCCCUGCAGGGUGUACAUCUUAUCGAUAAGCCGUGUCCGCGGUUAUGGACGACUUGGAAUUGUAUAGCUUGAUCAUAGAACAAUUUACACCGUUAUCUUGUUGCUAAUAAUCUGCUAAUAACUUGCGUAGUAAUAUAGCAUUACUACAACCGAUACCUAAUAAAACUUGUCCACCGUUGAGUGCCUUUUACAUUGCCUCUUCGCAAUUGUUGGAGGGGAUAUGUGUAAUCGGCUGGGUUAUGUUUGUGUAGUAUUUUAUCUGUUACCUUAUGCGCUCUCUUAUCUUCUCUGAUUAGACGGAUGUUGUAGUGUGUCUCUAUUGGUUAUAGUAUUGCUGCCGCUAAACCCACCAUAUAGCCCCAGGCGAUAUAUAUUUAUACUCGCUCGGCGAGCAUAGCCAUUUCUAGUCUCGCUAAGUACGUGCCGGAGUUCGUUCCUUGGUACUUACUCUCGCCUUUUCCCUUUCUCUUUUGCUUCCUCCCUUUUGUCGGCAACCGAUGGCCCGACUUUGACAGGUACGAGAUGACGACGCUAGCAAGGUUACCCUUCCGGCUUGGCCUGGGCAGGGUUAUGGACGCCACUGGUUAUCUUCAGGACUCUUAGUCCAAUUUGUAUCUUGUCCGUACUCGGAUGUAUUCGAUCUUUUGUAUGAUUUGGAUCUUUGUAUUGUAUAUUUGUAUCUUGACUCGUUGGAGUCGUUGUUGUAAUAUAUGUAUCUUGUGGGCUCUA